CACCAGUUCAAGUGCUGGCUUGUUGUUACUACUUUGUUUUGAGAAGGCAGAACACAUUAAAAUAAAACUGUAAUAAUAAGUGCAAGACAUGUUGACAAGUGAAACUGUAAUAAAUAGAACAUAAUAAGUGCGCAACUUAUUCGGGAGAAGUAACAUAAAAACACCAUAGAUCUGAAAGGGAAGCAGCAUUAUGAAGCAAAAAACCAAUUCAAGAUCAAAUCUAAAUGUUACUGGGUUAAGAAAUUAUAGUACAAGUCCUUUGGCAUGUGUUAUUAUUUUAAAUCAAGUAAAGCCCAAUGCAAAAUCAACUCUUUCUGUGUGUCUAUGUGUUUAUGACAUUAAAAUUAAGCAAGGCCACAUAAAAGGAAUUCUCUCUCUCAGCCUUUAAGUGGCAUCUGAAGGAAAAGUUGUACACAAAUCUCUUUCUCUCUCACUGUCUCCCUCAAAAACAUAAAGGAGCAAGCAAUACUGGCAAUCAUAAUUCAAAAGGAAAAUUCAUACAGUACUUCGAUAAUUAAGCAAAUGUCUGU
rnacentral:misc_RNA from 1 species